rnacentral:tRNA from 1 species
UAUAUGGUGGUGUAAGGGCACAAGGAGGUUUGGGCUCCUAGGACUCUUUAACCGGGGAGGCGUAUAU